GAGGCCAUGGGGUCAUUUCUCAUUCAAGCUACUACUACACCACGUUCUCGGCUGCCCCUUCCCGCUGCGGCCUUUUUCAAACAUUGGAUCAGGAAGGCAAGAUGCGGAGAGAAACCGGACCUCAUCAACCCCGGCCCCCAUAAGUCACAGUGGACACUUUAGGCAACAGCUGGGAGCGAUCGUCUCAACAAAAAACCAAACUGAGUCAUGAAGGAUUUGGGUAAAGGGGUCAGGCUGGGGCCAGCGACCCUACAGCGGGGGCUCUGAGACCAUCUGUGGGUCGCUGGAGCUUCCAGGGACCAGGGUGCUUCUCCGACAUUUGGAAAGCACUAACAGCAAAACGGCCCAUCUGCUGCCGCGCCAGCUGUUCUGAGCCUUGCAGGAAACUCAAAACCACUCUUGGAUGGGUACCAAAGUGUUGAGGAAGAAACGGAGGCAGGGAUGGAGAUCGUGAACGCCACGGCUGGGGGAUGGCAUCGCUGACAGCGGCUAGGGAGACGGCGGGGGCGCCCACGCCCAGGAGACCCUCCAUCCAGGAUGCACGCCUGGUGGCCAUCCCCCAGGGCAACCUGAAAAGUCUCGGGCAGACGCGGGAGGGGACAGCGGAGGGAGGGCUCACCUUUCUGAGAGGAACACGGGCCGGGGCCUCGCACACCUGAGGCAGAAGUGACUCCCGCACAGGCCGCCUGGACUACACUUCCCAGAAUUCCCGAGGGGAGCAGGGACAACACAGAGACUCGUGCAGAGGAAGUUAUCCUUGAACACCGGGGAUCCCCGGACUACAUUUCCCAAAAUUCCCGACCGGUAGGGCGGACCUCUAAGCCUCCUACGGCGGGAGUUAUCCUAGUAUCCCGGGGUUGGGAGUGUUGUGGACUACAUAUCCCAGAAUUCUCAGAGUGCUCUCGUCACUUCUCUGGAGCAGAAGUACAGCCAUCAAGAAAGUAAGCUAAAUAUCACAAUGUCGAGGUCCGGAACAACGUCUUUAGCGUCCCUGAAGACAAAAAUUUUCUAACCACGAAGCUUACCCACCUUUCUGUGGGGGGCUGUGUGUUAAACAAUGCCUUUCUAGAGAGCGUCAGGGACUGUGUGGGACUUCUGGGCUACAGGAAAGUCUUUCCAGCCACUGGGCUUCCUUCCCUUCGAGAUCAUUUGCAUGGUCACCUGAGUUUGGGGAUUCUUAGUCUGAAACAAUUCUACCGACCGCUUCUCACCUUCAGCUCUCCAACCUUCACCCUCUUUGUAAUCUUGGAAAAGGAAAACUUUCCAAAACGUGACACUCAAGUAAACUCAAGCAAAGCAAACCCAACAGAGCUGCCACCCACCCAGUCUAAGAGGUUCUCCUAUAGAAAGAGCAUGGAGGGACUUGGAAUACAGAGAGGAGAAUGUUCUGCCCAGAUUAGGACCCCCAAAGAGACCACCAGAGACCAAAGAUAUCCAGAAUGCAAUAGCAAGGUUUACUUCUCAGUGCAAUAUGAGCUAGCAAGGAACCCUCGUCUGCAGUGCCCAGCGAGGCAGGGAGGAGAGUUCCUCUUCCUUGGGGAGGUUAGCUUUUGAAGGCAAAAACCACAAAAUCCUUCAGAGAGGAGGGGGUUAGUAUGGGUCCACCCUUGAUUGGUCCAGUUUUCCUGAGCUUGGACUUUAUCUUAUUUUUUGCUCUGUCAGGAGUUUUACAGCCCAUCUCCAAAAUUUGGUCAUCUUAUCUCGGGUGAGGGGGUCGUCUCGUGGUUAGUAACCAGACAGUCUGAUUUUGUACUUUUAAAACUUCUGACUUCACCCUGUCUGGGAAUGGGGAACUGACUCGGUUCUGGCUAUUUAAAAAUGUCCCUUUCCUCAGCUCUCUGGGCCUUAGGGGGAACUGGGGUGGGGGUCUCUCAGAUAAGAAAACCAAGUUAUACAAAAGAAAUGAAUCAAUAAUUUUAAGUACAUGCACAGGUGUGUGUGUGUGUGUGUGUGUGUGUGUGUGUGUGUGUGUGUGUGUACUCACCAUGUGAGUGAGUGUAGUGCCCAAGGAAGCCAAAAGAGGGUGUCAGUUCCCCCGAAACGACUUACAGACAAGGCAAGCUUAGAUCAUUCUGUCAGAGGACUCUCUAGACCAGUGGUUCUCAGCCUUCAUGCUUCACCCCUUUAAUAUUGCUCCUCAUGUUGUGGUUACCUCCAACUAUAAAACUGUUUUCAUUGCUACUUCAUAACUGUAAUUUUGCUGUUAUGAAUUGUAAUGCAAACAUCUUUUUUCCCCAUGACCUUAGGUGACCUCUAAGGGGUCGAGCCCCACAGGUUGAGAACCACUACUCAUCCCCUGGGGAGUCGUCCCCUGGGGAGGAAAUUGUACUCACAGUAACCUUUAGCAGCCAGAACUUUGGGUUUCUUUUUCCUAUUUCAGGGAAUUCACACAUCUAAAUAACAGUGCAUGUUUUCACUAGGCAUGCUAGGUCUUGCAAGAACUAUGCUCAUAUAAAUUAAUAGAAAGCCAGACAGGCUACAGAUCAGAACACUGAUGAUUUCAAAGUUUCAAAAUUAUUUGUUCCAAAGGAACUCUACUCUGGGCCUUCAGCUCAAUUCUCCACCUCGUUUUAGGAACUACUUUUCUGAGCUGGGCAGCGGAGGUGCACGCCUUUAAUCCCAGCACUUAGAAGGCAGAGGCAGGUGGAUCUCUGAGUUUGAGGACAGCUUGGUCUACAGAGUGAGUUCCAGGACAGCUAGGGCUAUAAGAAAAACUUUUUCUCAAUAAUAGUAAUAAUAAUACUUUUCUGAGAUCAAGGCUUCAGACACACAGUAAUUUACAGGGAUAAAAUUCAUCAUUUAGGGAUAAAGAUCAGAACAGACACA